AUUAAAUAAGUGCCUAAAAAGGUAGGAGAAGCCAAACUUCAGAAAUGAUUGAAAACUGAAUUUCAGCACGUAAAAUUUUGCCUGACGAUACUUUUAUGCUUAUUGAAUUUAUUCAACUCUCAUAGGUAGGUAGAGGUACUGAGGAAACUACACAGUCCACACUCCAGUUAUUCCAUAACCAUUUAACAGAUUAUGACGGAAGUUCCGUUGAAUAAUAAACAAGUGAGUGACCACAGGUAUACAAGAGGGAGAAUAGUCAGUGUUGAAACGAGAAAGAGAUUAGAAAAUUAUGCUGAUGCGGCAGAUUGAUAUUUUUAUUUUGAUAACAGGGCGGUGAGAUACAUGGUUUUUUCCUAUUAGCAGCGUAGGUUUUUUUCGCCCAGUAUUCUCAUCGCCCUUGGUCGCGAAUGUUGUCGAUUUUUAUGACGACUUCUGAUUAGAAGUCAGUUUUAAAUUGUAAUGGUAUGAAAAGCUGCGAAGUGUAAUUCCGAAAUAUAAUCGUUUCGUUUUUGGGCAGAUCGUGUUAUUUAUUUUAUAAUAAACAAGUGUAUUUAUCUCGAAUUUCGGAUACAAAAUUUCUCAUGGUAGCAGAGCGUGGUUUGCGAUGGAAACUGCGGUUGGAAGUCACUCAGAAAAUUCCAGGAUGUGCCAAAAAUCGAUUCCAGAAAGUUGAUGUAUUAGAACUGAUGGUAUCGGAAUCGGACAGUGAUAUGGACACAGAGAAUUGAAUUAAUAAUCUACAACUCGAAAAUUAUGUCUAAUUUCAUUUUUAUUUCAGAAUAUCCGUUUCCUAUCUGUAUCAACAUGAUAUUAUAUAUGCAUACUUAUACCUAUCUAAUUUUAUAAAAAUGUUCUGUUUCAGCAUACCUAUUAAACCUAUUAAAAAUUGAAUUUGUUGAUUAAUAAGUUUUUCUUUCAGAUUUGGAAGCAUAAUUUUGGAGGGAGUGUUGAAACGAGAAAGAGAUUAGAAAAUUAUGCUGAUGCGGCAGAUUGAUAUUUUUAUUUUGAUAACAGGGCGGUGAGAUACAUGGUUUUUUCCUAUUAGCAGCGUAGGUUUUUUUCGCCCAGUAUUCUCAUCGCCCUUGGUCGCGAAUGUUGUCGAUUUUUAUGACGACUUCUGAUUAGAAGUCAGUUUUAAAUUGUAAUGGUAUGAAAAGCUGCGAAGUGUAAUUCCGAAAUAUAAUCGUUUCGUUUUUGGGCA